GGCCCAUCAGCUCAGUUAGUCAGAGCGUCGUGCUAAUUCCACGAAGGUCCCGGGUUCGAUCCCCUCAUGGGCCA